rnacentral:rRNA from 1 species
GAUGAACGCUAGCUACAGGCUUAACACAUGCAAGUCGAGGGGCAGCACGAGGUAGCAAUACUUUGGUGGCGACCGGCGCACGGGUGCGUAACGCGUAUGCAACCUACCUUUAACAGGGGCAUAACACUGAGAAAUUGGUACUAAUUCCCCAUAACAUUCGAGAAGGCAUCUUCUUGGGUUAAAAACUCCGGUGGUUAAAGAUGGGCAUGCGUUGUAUUAGCUAGUUGGUGAGGUAACGGCUCACCAAGGCAACGAUACAUAGGGGGACUGAGAGGUUAACCCCCCACAUUGGUACUGAGACACGGACCAAACUCCUACGGGAGGCAGCAGUGAGGAAUAUUGGUCAAUGGACGCAAGUCCGAACAGCCAUGCCGCGUGCAGGAAGACGGCUCUAUGAGUUGUAAACUGCUUUUGUACUAGGGUAAACGCUUCUACGUGUAGGAGCCUGAAGAAUAAGCACCGGNUAACUACGUG